GGAGAACAAUGAAGCGUGAGCUGGAGGGAAGCGAGCGGGCCGCCGGGAGCGCACUGUGUACAAACAGAGGCGGCGUGCGUGCUACAAUUCAGAAGUGUGCAAAUUUGAGCAACCUAUGGAAACACAUCAUGUGCAGGCUUGCGUCUGCCUCCAGCAGGACUCUUGUUAAGGAUAUCCAGAUGGAUAACUGCUAACUGGAGCUCAGAGUACACACUUGGAGUGGAAGAGGUUGGAAAGCUGGGAAGAAUGGAUGGCAUGGUCUUAGAAAGGGCUGGAAGUGGAACACAACAGCCACCAGGAAGCCAAACACCUGGAUACAGUAUUACAAGUAGAGACCUCAGUCACCCUGACACUUCUACAACCAGGAGAGAAGUUUAAAAAAUGGGAAGUUGUCCUCUGCAGUUUUUUGUUGUUGUUGAUGAUGAUCUUCCUGUCAUAGACAAUGCUGUAAUGAACAGACUAGAAUGCUAAUGUUCCAAGGAGAGAAGGAUUUUAACUCUACCUCUCAUGCAAGCCUAAACCUGCGGGGCACUCCUCCUAUGGGGAUGCAUUCACCAUGAAGUGUUCCAGAGAGGCUGUCUACAGAUGUACCCAUGCAGACACCCAUUGGAGAAGCCCUAGCUGUGUCUGCCAUGGUGGUUGAGAAGAAGUCCCCUUCUCCAAGACCCUUCAUAAGCACUUGGACUGCCUGACUGUUGGGGUAGAGCUGCAGACUUUCCCCAUUGAGCCUAGUACUGCACAUGUGUCUCUACUGAAAUAAAAUUUCUACAAGUGGAAAGUUGAAA